GUAAAAUCCUGUCAUCCUUAGAGGACCACCAGUUGCGAAGGCGCCACACUAGAACGGGUCCGACGGUCAGGGACGAAGCCUAGGGGCACAAACCGGAUUAGAUACCCGGGUAGUCCUAGGUGUAAACGCUGUGAACUUGGUGUCGGGAGUCCGCAAUGGGCCCCGGUGCCGGAGUGAAGAUGUUAAGUUCACUGCCUGGGGAGUACGGUCGCAAGGCUGAAACUUAAAGGAAUUGGCGGGAAGGGCGAAUUCGU
rnacentral:rRNA from 1 species